rnacentral:rRNA from 1 species
UAGGGAAUCUUCCACAAUGGGCGAAAGCCUGAUGGAGCAACGCCGCGUGUGUGAUGAAGGGUUUCGGCNCGUAAAACACUGUUGUAAGAGAAGAAUGACAUUGAGAGUAACUGUUCAAUGUGUGACGGUAUCUUACCAGAAAGGAACGGCUAAAUACGUGCCAG